rfam:Myotis davidii contig70300, whole genome shotgun sequence.
AGGCCCGAGGAGAGAGAGGCAGGGUCUGAUCUGCAGCCUCCGUGGCAGCUGUUGGUCAGCCAUUGCCUCUGUCUUUCUCUCAG